rnacentral:miRNA from 1 species
UAAUGGCCGACUUGGUAGUAUAAUUGAAUGGUUGUAGAUCUAAUAGGUCCUAUUAGAUCUACAACCAUUCAAUUAUACUACCAAGUCGGCCAUUACC